rnacentral:rRNA from 1 species
GACGAACGCUGGCGGCGUGCUUAACACAUGCAAGUCGUACGGAAAGGCCCUGCUUUUGUGGGGUGCUCGAGUGGCGAACGGGUGAGUAACACGUGAGUAACCUGCCCUUGACUUUGGGAUAACUUCAGGAAACUGGGGCUAAUACCGGAUAGGAGCUCCUGCUGCAUGGUGGGGGUUGGAAAGUUUCGGCGUUUGGGGAUGGACUCGCGGCUUAUCAGCUUGUUGGUGGGGUAGUGGCUUACCAAGGCUUUGACGGGUAGCCGGCCUGAGAGGGUGACCGGCCACAUUGGGACUGAGAUACGGCCCAGACUCCUACGGGAGGCAGCAGUGGGGAAUAUUGCACAAUGGGCGGAAGCCUGAUGCAGCAACGCCGCGUGCGGGAUGACGGCCUUCGGGUUGUAAACCGCUUUCGCCUGUGACGAAGCGUGAGUGACGGUAAUGGGUAAAGAAGCACCGGCUAACUACGUG